rnacentral:rRNA from 1 species
AGUUUGAUCCUGGCUCAGCGCGAACGCUGGCGGCGUGCCUAACACAUGCAAGUCGUGCGGAGGGGUGAUGAGCCCCUCAGCGGCAAACGGGUGAGUAACACGUGAGUAACCUGCCCCUGGGAAGGGGAUAACCCUCCGAAAGGGGGGCUAAUACCCUAUAUUGCCGGGGACCACUAAGGUCACCCGGUGAAAGGUGGCCUCUGCCCUUCAUGGGUAUGCUACCGCCCAGGGAGGGGCUCGCGGCCCAUCAGGUAGUUGGUGGGGUAACGGCCUACCAAGCCUAUGACGGGUAGCCGGCCUGAGAGGGUGGCCGGCCACAGUGGGACUGAGACACGGCCCACACCCCUACGGGGGGCAGCAGUGGGGAAUCGUGGGCAAUGGGCGAAAGCCUGACCCCGCGACGCCGCGUGGGGGAUGAAGCCCUUCGGGGUGUAAACCCCUGUCGGGGGGGACGAUGUGUCCUGGGGUGAAUAAUCCCAGGGCAUGACGGUACCCCCAGAGGAAGGGACGGCUAACUACGUGCCAGCAGCCGCGGUAAUACGUAGGUCCCGAGCGUUGCGCGAAA